GUGGAUGUAGCUCAAUAGGUAGAGCAACUGUAUGUGGCACAGAAGGUUCUCUGUUCAAUUCAGGGUAUCCACC
rnacentral:tRNA from 1 species